rnacentral:rRNA from 1 species
AACGAACGCUGGCGGCGUGCCUAACACAUGCAAGUCGAACGGAAUUAGGGAGCUUGCUCCUUAAUUUAGUGGCGCACGGGUGAGUAACGCGUAGAUAAUCUGCCCGACGAUCCGGGAUAACAGUUCGAAAGGACUGCUAAUACCGGAUAAGCCCACGUGGUCUUUGGACCGUGCGGGAAAAGGGGGGGACCUUCGGGCCUUCUGUCGUCGGAUGAGUCUGCGUACCAUUAGCUAGUUGGUAGGGUAAAGGCCUACCAAGGCUACGAUGGUUAGCUGGACUGAGAGGAUGAGCAGCCAAACUGGAACUGAGACACGGUCCAGACUCCUACGGGAAGCAGCAGUGGGGAAUUUUGCGCAAGGGGCGAAAGCCUGACGCAGCAACGCCGCGUGAGUGAUGAAGGCUUUCGGGUCGUAAAGCUCUGUCAAGGGGAAAGAAGUGUAUUGUGGCUAAUAUCCACGAUACUUGACGGUACCCCUAAAGGAAGCACCGGCUAACUCCGUGCCAGCAGCCGCGGUAACAC